UAUCCAUGUGGAGGGCAUCUUAUCAACAAUUCCUAAAAUCUCUCCCAACUUUCUAAAAAACUUAUCAUCCUCCUCUUGAAUAAAAGAAAUGAUCUCCUUUCUGUAAUC